UACGUAGGGUGCAAGCGUUGUCCGGAAUUAUUGGGCGUAAAGAGCUCGUAGGCGGUCUGUCGCGUCUGCUGUGAAAACUCAGGGCUUAACCCUGAGCUUGCAGUGGGUACGGGCAGACUAGAGUGCGGUAGGGGAGACUGGAAUUCCUGGUGUAGCGGUGAAAUGCGCAGAUAUCAGGAGGAACACCGGUGGCGAAGGUGGGUCUCUGGGCCGUAACUGACGCUGAGGAGCGAAAGCGUGGGGAGCGAACAGG
rnacentral:rRNA from 1 species